UACAGAGGGUGCAAGCGUUGUUCGGAAUUAUUGGGCGUAAAGCGCGUGUAGGCGGCUUUGCAAGUCGGGUGUGAAAGCCCUCAGCUUAACUGAGGAAGUGCGCCCGAAACUGCAGAGCUCGAGUGCCGAAGAGGGUGGCGGAAUUCCCCAAGUAGAGGUGAAAUUCGUAGAUAUGGGGAGGAACACCGGUGGGCGAAGGCGGCCGCCUGGUCGGGUAACUGACGCUGAGACGCGAAAGCGUGGGGAGCAAACAGG
rnacentral:rRNA from 1 species